ACCCGCUGAACUUAAGCAUAUCAAUAAGCGGAGGAAAAGAAACCAACAGGGAUUGCCUUAGUAACGGCGAGUGAAGCGGCAUCAGCUCAGAUUUGAAACCUGCUCCGGCCGGAUUGUAAUCUGCAGAGGUGUGGAUCGGGUGCGACUUUGGCCUAAGUCCUUUGGAACAAGGCGUCAUAGAGGGUGAGAAUCCCGUAUGCGGCCGUCUGUCAACCCCAUUUGAAGCGCCUUCGACGAGUCGAGUUGUUUGGGAAUGCAGCUCAAAGUGGGUGGUAAAUUCCAUCUAAAGCUAAAUACCGGCGGGAGACCGAUAGCGCACAAGUAGAGUGAUCGAAAGAUGAAAAGCACUUUGGAAAGAGAGUUAAACAGCACGUGAAAUUGUUGAAAGGGAAGCGCUUGCGAUUAGACUUGAUUUUGGUUGAUCAUCCGGGGUUCUCUCCGGUGCACUCUGCCAUUUCAGGCCAGCAUCAGUUUUUGGGGCGGGAUAAAAUCAUUGGGAACGUGGCUCUUCGGAGUGUUAUAGCCCUUUGUCAUGCCGCCUCCGGGGACUGAGGACCGCGCUUCGGCUAGGAUGCUGGCGUAAUAGUUGCAAGCGACCCGUCUUGAAACACGG
rnacentral:rRNA from 1 species